GCAACUUAGGCUUGUAAUACUAAUUAGUAAUACUAAUAUUAAAGAAAUAUACAGCUUAUUAUUAAUUUACUCAUACACAUGUUUUACACUUACUUAUACUACACUACAUUUUCAUAAUAAUACUCUCAGAGAUUAACCUAUCUGAACUUGCUCAAGUCAAAAGUUUGCUUGGUAUGGCAUGAAGAAGACACUAUCAAUAACAUCAUUAAAGUUCACACAUAUUUGUUUUGUAUUUUUCUCCAGAUACUUUGAUUCUUGCACCAGUUUCUCACAAAUAACAAAUUUCGAAAUUUGCUAAAUAAACAAGUGUUAAUCUAUAUUUUCCAUGAAAAUUCACAAUUAGUGUUGCAACCCACAAUUUUUGCCCAAUUGGAUAGGUUUUAUAAUAAAAUAACAUUGACAUUUUAGCAAAGUUUAGAAAUUGCAAUUGGAUAAGAUCCAAAAUAAACAAAACAAAGCAAACUAACCUGACUUUGUUCGGAUCUGCAUGUGGCGCCAUCCUUUAAAAACUGCUUGAACGUUUUAAAUACAGUUUUAUUCGAAAAAUCAAUAAAGCAAGGAAAUCGGAAAAAAGUACAAUUUAAAAGAAUUUUUUAUCAGAUUUGCCUGAAAUUCGGCACACAGAUUCUCGCAUAUAUUCGGCACAGAUUCACUAUUUUGUUUUGUGAUAUUCGAUCUGGUUAUCUUAAAAUUUAAUAAACUGUAAAUAAAAUACCAUCGGUAAAACUGGCAACGACGUGAACGCCCGACCAAGAUUCAAGCCAGCCUGAACAGCUGACGAGGGAAGCCAAUAAUAGCAAAUCACAAAAUGUAAAUUAUAACGGAUCGCCAAACAAAAUAGUGGAUCUGAGCGGAAUCGAAUAAGAAACACUUUGACCAAUUUUCAACUCAUUCUGAUGUGAGGUUUUUUUUUUAAGUACUUUUCUAAGAUGCAAAAAGUGACCAAUCACGAGAGCGGAGAAGCGGCAAAUAAGCAAAAAAAAAGUCGCCUUAAUGGUAAACACAAGCACAAGAGGAAAGUCCUAUGUCACUUUUGGAGUGGUGCUUGCGCGAAGAUAUUUGUGGGCAUUUAUCUUGAAUCGCUGUAGGUUGUAUGCGUUGGGAAAUAUGUGAGAUGGAAACCCGUGCCACAAAGAGGAUGUUCUCCAGAUGUAUGAGUCCCGAUACAGCGACGUCCUUGGGGUAGGCAGGUGGACUCGAUGUUGAUGAGCCGCAACUGCUAGACGCGUCCUUCUUGCCGGAACAGCCCUGGGUGGAAUCAGGCCUGUCAGCUCAGAGGAGCACUUACCGUGAUAAUAACGGUAGAAUAAACAGAGAUCAGCCAUUUUUCUCCUGUGCUCCAGCAGCUCAGGAGACAACAACUUAACAAGUUUGCAGCGACCAGCACUGUUAUUCUAACUUUAGAAAGUUUUCCGCCAGCACAGGUUUCUCCAACAAAUUUUAAAGUUUUAUCUGGGGUUAGUUUAUAGAAAAGUCCGGUCUCGUCAGCAUUAAAAAUGUCAUUACUGCUGUAAUUCUUACGAAGAUCGGGCCAAAUAGUAGUAAACCAGUUAUUAACAACAUCCAUGUCAACUAAUGCAGAGUCACCAAUAAUUUUCCCUCCAGUAAUACAGUGUCUCUUCUUAAAACGUUCAAUCCAGCUUCUCGAAAAUUCAAAAGUUUUUCCUUCAAUUUUACUACCCAUUUCACUAGCUUUUUCUUGAAGAAUAGGACCACUUAAUGGAACGUUUUCCUUUCUUUGUUGUGUAAACCGCACUGUAAAAAUCCUCUAUCAACCCCUUCAUGAGUCGAUUGUCUAAGUCUUUUACACUUUGCCAUAUACUUUACCAUAUGCUGAUAAAAUCUCUUCCCUCUUUUUCCAAACUAUGCAAACCUUAGAACAUUGAAAGGCUAGAAUUAGUAAACAACAACUUUGUUCGAGUCCAACAUGUGCACAGGGGCAAGAGGGGUGUGUUGUUUACAAACAUAUUUGUCGAUUCUCUGUUGUCAAGUCGACGCGAAUUUCCAACGGAGGAAAUUUUUUGCUAUAUUUUAACAACCAUAAUAACGUUAAUUUAACUUACUUGUGUUGUAUUUUAUAGGAAAAUUUAAAUUAAAAAACAUAAAUACUACAAUUAACCUAUUUUAAGAAUAGAUAUAAUAUCCUUAAGCAAAAAAAAACAAAAUUAUUAACAUUCUUAUCCCUAAAACCGUUUUUAAAAAAUUUGAAGCGACAACGCCGAAACUAUAGCGCCUGAGCCAUACGCAUAGUGUCAUCUGUCAAACGGCUUUUUGUUUAUGUUCGGGAUUCGUGUAUUUUCUUUAAUUUUUUGGUUUCAAAAGGAAAAAGGCUACAUUUUAGUGUUUUUUUUAAAUUGCUAGGAUGGGAAAAACUUGUGUCGUUUGUGCCGCAUCAUGAUAAAAAGGUGAUUCAAGCCGAUCUUUUCACAAGUAAGUACCGAUACUUUCAUAACAUCACAUCAUGGGGUAACCAUCAUCAUAAACGUAGAAUAGGGGAUCUUAUAGAUAUAAACCUAAUAAAAACUUAAAUGUGAAAGUGUGCGUAAAAUACCAAAAUAUUCAUAUUUUUAAAUCUAAAUAUUUUUUUGAACAUAUUUAUCUAUCAAUAGGCUAUAAAAAAUAUAAAACUAGAAUUUUGUCCCUGGUUUUAUUACAGGAUUUUAUGUUUUUUUUGUUGUUAUGGCAGAAAGAAGGCAUACCUAAUACCCAUGUACCUAUCUAUGUAUAGUUAUGUUUUUUUAAUAUAGACAUUAGGUAGAUAGAUAAAAUUACUAAUUUUUUAUUGCCUUUAAAGAAUUUUGAAAUUUAUUUAGAUAUUGAUAUCUAUGUAUAAAGUUAAUUUUGUCUUUCCCUAAAAUUUGGUCGAUAAUUUUUUUUGUUUUACCAUAUUGCAACUUACAAUAAUAUAUAUAGUAAUUGGCACCACAUAUUAAUUCAUUACUGUAAUUUUUUUUGCUUUUUGAUUAAAUAUCAAAUACUUAUUAUAGACUGCCUAAUAUAUGCCCAAAGGGAACAAUGGAUUUCAUUAAUGGAAAUCAACACAAUUAAACAGAACAUAUUUGUUUGUUCAGAUCACAUCCUUUGAAGUGAUUUCUUAUAUAAGGAAGAUAAUAUUAUCAGUAGCCAGACUAUAAAACAAAUCAGCUCUACCUCAAAGAUAAUUUUUUUUAAAUAUAUUUUUCUAGUAUAAAAAAAUCAUCACAAAAAGGAUUAGUGUUACUCAUAUAAGCUUUAUUUAUAACUAAUACUAAUUAAAUUAGGUAAGUGUGUAAAACUAUUUUUUUACUAGGAUUUUCGAUGCACUGGUUAAAAACACAGCAGCGAAUAAUUUAGUUAAUUUACCAAGUGAUUUAUCCUUCAAAGCUGCAGGGGCAGCUUUCCUGAAGAGUGCAAAAACUUCUUUAGCGUCCAAAAUGGUAUAUAGUACAAACAGUGAAGCUAAUACAGAUAAAUCUGAUGAUUCAUCAUCAACAAUAACUGCAUCUGAGAUUAAUAGUUCUACAGUAAUCGUGGGGUCUAGGUCAACAAUUACUAUUUCUCAUCCAAGCCCUUUUUGUUUAACUGGUACACAUUCCCUGACUCUGCCAAGGAAAAGGGUAAAAUCAAAAUGAUAUCCUGAGGACCUAAGCACUGAUGAUUCCACCGUUUUAAAAGCUAAAUCACUUGUCACCAAAUUAUAGAAAAAAAAAUAAAGAAAAUUAAAAUUCGAAGAUUGCAACAAACAAAUUUGCGCCAAAGAAAUUGAAUUAGAUCUCAAGUCAUUAUUAAAAUACUUAAGAAAUAAUAACAUGAUUUUCGAAAAAGCCCAACAUACUACAUAUUUUAUUUGACUUGUAAAAGUACUUGUUUGUAUAUUACUACUAAUAAACUAUCUAAUCUAUUGUA